rnacentral:lncRNA from 1 species
AAGCAAAGUGUGAUCCGUGGAAUCAUGGCGAGGAGAGGAGGAUGAUCUAGGCACUCAUUGGUGUUUUAGAUUAUUGUUGGAUUUGUUAGGGUGUUAGAAUGGAAUUUAGAAACAUGUUAGGAUGACCAUGUUUUGGAAUAAUGUUUGGUUGAACUUGUUGGUUUAAUGGAAUUGUUUUAUUGGAUUUUUGGUUAAGUCUUCCGCUGGAUAAUAUUGUUGGUUUACUUUAAUGAGAUUGCUUGGUUUAAUUGAUUUAAAUUAUUAUGGCCGGUUUAGCUGGUUCGAAUUAAAAGGGUUAAUCCGGUUUGCAUGUUUAAAAGAA